UAGAGUUUGAUCCUGGCUCAGAUUGAACGCUGGCGGCAUGCCUAACACAUGCAAGUCGAACGGCAGCACAGUCGUAGCAAUACGAUGGGUGGCGAGUGGCGGACGGGUGAGGAAUACAUCGGGACCUGCCCAGACGUGGGGGAUAACGUAGGGAAACUUACGCUAAUACCGCAUACGUCCUACGGGAGAAAGCGGGGGAUCUGAAAGGACCUCGCGCGGUUGGAUGGACCGAUGUUCGAUUAGCUAGUUGGUGAGGUAAUGGCUCACCAAGGCGACGAUCGAUAGCUGGUCUGAGAGGAUGAUCAGCCACACUGGGACUGAGACACGGCCCAGACUCCUACGGGAGGCAGCAGUGGGGAAUAUUGGACAAUGGGCGAAAGCCUGAUCCAGCAAUGCCGCGUGUGUGAAGAAGGCCUUCGGGUUGUAAAGCACUUUUAUCAGGAGCGAAAUGCUAUCGGCUAAUACCCGGUAGAGCUGACGGUACCUGAGGAAUAAGCACCGGCUAACUUCGUGCCAGCAGCCGCGGUAAUACGAAGGGUGCAAGCGUUAACCGGAAUUACUGGGCGUAAAGCGUGCGUAGGCGGUUUUUUAAGUCUGCUGUGAAAUCCCCGGGCUCAACCUGGGAAUGGCAGUGGAUACUGGAAAGCUAGAGUGUGAUAGAGGAUGGUGGAAUUCCCGGUGUAGCGGUGAAAUGCGUAGAGAUCGGGAGGAACAUCAGUGGCGAAGGCGGCCAUCUGGAUCAACACU
rnacentral:rRNA from 1 species